GGGAGUGAUCACUUUUUUGUGGCUUUGGGGCCAGGCCACUGAAAUGGGGCCAGGCCACGGAGAAAUUGGGGCCAGGCCACGGAGAAAUUGGGGCCGGGCCACAGAGAAAUUGAGGCCGGGCCACGGAGAAAUCGGGGCCAGGCCAGGCCAGGCCAUGGUGCUAUGCAGUAAUACGGAGCCACACUCAAAUUCUGGUUAGUAAAGAUCUUCAAGUUACAGGUAACCAUAAUAGUAUGAAAUCAUGUUUGACUGUCUGAAAAGUAAAUACUUUGAAAUUUGUUGCCGGGAAGUGCAGUUUAAAAAGUGGAUUCAUACAGCGAGGUGAUUCGGGGACGCAAUGUCUGAAUGUUGUCGGAAGUGGAAUAGUCAUAGUUUUUAUUUCAUAUAACAGGGAUUGUUUAAAUUGAUAAUGAAAACAGGAAUCAAGCGAAAAAGUUUUUCCGAGAAGAACUAUAUUCCGAACGAGAUUCCACUACAAAGAUUAAAUACUAAAAUAGAUGGAAUAGUAUAAUGGUGCUCACGUCGUAACGACAUGCAAACAGUUGUCGCAGUUUCCAUGUUAUUGAUUUUGCUUCUCCAAAACAUCGCGUACAUAAAACAAUAGAAUGACGUGGAAUUGGCAAGUGUGGUAUUAUGAUUGCUCGAAGAUUUAUUCAGAUUCUACGUACCUCAAUCUUGGAGAGAAGAAAUUAUAUCAUGGUGUCUGCUAUGAUGACAACAAUACGGACUCUAUAUAAUUUUGGUUUUAUAUUGUGUAGGAGAUACUCAACCUUACCAGUGUGGUUGCUAAAAACAAAUUUGAAAAAAUACCAAAUUGAAUUUUGCGAAUUUUCCCUUGAAUCUCUAAACCAGUUCCAGUCAAAAGAGUCUUACAAUUUCCUUGCUUAUGAUUAUCUAAUAUGCGUUUGUACUACUGUUACUUUUCCGAUAUAUCUAUGAUGACUUAUAUUGAAAAAACAGUCUUAUGAUUGAACAUUUAUCCCUGAUAUUCAUUACGCUGAAUAUAAUUGAAGUAAUUAUCGGUAAUAGGAAAGUCUUAAGAUGCUAACAAAAAGGACUCCCUCGGAGAUGAAUCUUAUUUUAAAAAAGAGUAUGUUGGAAUCCUGCCAAUCUGGUGUUUGCAAUUUUUUUUGCAUAUUUUUCAAUAAAUGAAACAGUUAAUCAACUGGUAUGCAUGGAUCUUGUUUUCUGUUAGGGAUAAUGUAUAACGGAGAAGAGUAGUCUUUUUUGCAUGUUGAGUAUUGGGAUACUAGUGGUUGUGAUAGCGUAUACCAGCUACCGAUAUGUUGUGCCUGCAAUUUGUAUUACAAAUCUAAAACAUCUUAGCGUGUAAACCCCUGUCAAUUGCCUAUGCAAUACAGGUAGAACUACACAAUUUAUCAGUACGGACUUCAUUUAAUAAUAGCAUUUGAGUCACUGGUGGAAUUAUUCACUGAUCUAUUAACCAUGUAUUGUAUGAAAAUAAUUAAAUAACAACACAUAUUCGCUAAAAAAAUUAACAAUCACAAAAAGGUAUGCAACAAGCAAUAAAUAUAACUUAUUUCACUGAGUUUUUUUUAACAUAUAGGCACCAGUUCACGCUACAGUAAAAAGACAAUGAAUGCGGUGAGGAAUAUAAAUGUAUAGAUACGGUGACCAGUAGAAACACUACAAUAAUGUAUCGCUCGCAAUAUACCCCCUCACAUAAGUAAUACAUUGGGUGAGCGAACACGUACUACUUCUUUUAUCAAUACCUUUCCAUCUGAAAUAUGUAGGCUUCAAACUUUACUUGAGGUUUUGUUUGCUUUCCCGAUUCUAUAAUCAGUUACUUUAUCAUUUGUUUUUAUCUAUUAUUUUCUAUUCUAUUGCUGAUUAUGGAGUCGGUACAUUUGUAAUGAGUAAGUGUUCGAAUACAGCAUUUUCCCUGGUUGUAACAUACGAUACGGUUCAAUUGUACAAGUACCGGUACGGUACCGUACAUGUCUUAACAUUACCAGUUUCCACAU